AUUUUGUACAACAAUUUUCAGCUUGGACAAGUUCCUCUUUUUGCCACGACAAACGGCCCUUAUUAAAUUACUUCUGUGCGACAAGAAAUGAAAAGAUUGUCCGAGUUUAGCCCCAGCCAGAGGACUCCAACGGGUUUCUUUAGAAGAUUGGCGUUCGCCCAUUAUUUGCUUGAGGGAAGGGGAGACAAGAACCUGAAACCUUUUUGUGACCUGCGGUUUGUCUGGAUGGUCAAGGAGAAGAUAACUUAUUCAGAUGACUAACAAGUUUCCGCCAGAAAUAUUUGAUAUCGUGUUUAUCCGGACCAGGGUUAUGUUUCAAUUGAGAUGAUCCGAGACCUUUUGGUCAGAGGAAUCCAUUGACUCUCAUGUUGAAGCAUGAAUAAAAUCAAUUCAACGACUCAAGCCUCCCAUGACCACCAUCCAACUGUGAAAUGUUCCUAUGUCCAAGGUGAAUGAGAAUCCUAUCCCAAGCUGACCUGGAAGAGAAACACAGAGGGGUACUACGUGUGAGUCAAUAUUGAAGAGCCAAUUCACACAACUCGGGUGGUCACGAUCGCGUCAACCCGAUUUAUCAUUCCGAAAUCCAAAGACCGGACAGACAAUCACUCUUACUAAGGUUGGCAGGAGGCCCCAAAAAUUUCGUUGCCAUGUCCUUCCGUGAUACCUUCAAGAGAGAGAUGCUCAAGCUCAAGGAGGAGAAGCACCAAGAAAUUCGGAAAGCUGAUGAGGGGUUCAAGAAGAUGAUUGACGAGGUCCAGCACAAGUAUUGUGAACUUUUUGACAUGAAAAAGAUGGAACUUCAGCGAAAACUGGAUGAACUGGACAAGGAGGUGGAGGAGACGAAGCGAAAAUGGAAUGAGUUGGACGAGGAGACGAAGCAAACGCGACACAAGUUGGACCGAGAUGCAGAAGAGACGGCAAAAACAGAAUCAGCUGGCAAUGGUUUUUGACGAGUUUAAUGAGCUAAUCGGUCCUCAAGUUUGUGAAAGCACACUGCUUGACGAGGCAAAAUAUCAAUCUUACAUUUGAAACCCCAGAAACUACGAAUAUUCCUCGCCCCGUCUCUGUGGCGUGAGAGAGCAGAGACGGAGAAUCUGAAUAUUCCGGGCCGGAGGUACAAUCAACAGACGCUUUAAGACCAAUUGUUGUCGUCGGGGGUGCUAAUCGGAAUUUUGGUCUUUCGCCAAUUUCUCAAGGCUCCCUUAGUAUGCCAACACCGUUACAAAAUUUUGACGAAGAAAUUAGCUAGAAUAUCGGCCAUUGAAAGUAUCUGAAAGUAUAUUGACAUGAAUGAUGCCUCAUUGUGAAAUCUUUUUCUGCGUUGUUAUACCUUAGUGCUAUCAAAUUAAGGACACUGCACGUCACUAUCUUAAAGGGAGACGAAUGCCUCUUUUGAGAUAGGGUCAUAGACUUGAAACCGAAUUUGUGUUAGUAAAAUUAAUGUAGAGAUAUGAACCAAAAGAGAGACCAAAAAUUCAGGGCUUCAUAUUUCAUGAUUAGUCAUUGACAAAGUAAAAUGCAAUACUGCGUAGGGUGAAGGGAGACAAAUAAACGUGCAGUUUUCACAAUAAUAUUGUACUUGUUGACACUAUUGCCCUGGCAAAGAACAUUUCUUCUAAUCAUGUUUGCGGUAACAAUAUCGUAAUUGAUUUUGUAAGACAUGUAAUCCUGGAUCAUUUUCUCACCCAGCAAUCGUUGGGAAUUAAUAACAAUCCUAGGUACUUUGGGCUAGAAGUAACGAAUUACUGAUCAAAAAAGUUAAGUUGAUUAUUCAAGUUAACGAUAAUGUUUUCUUACAGCUAUUCAAAAAAUACAAAUGAACUUCU